CUUGUUAUUGAAUCAAUAUCAUUCAGUUUUGGUAAUAGAUCGCAACAACAUAGUUGAAUCAGCAAUGAGUCAACUUCCAGAGUAUUUCUCUCUUUUUAACAUGAGUAUUCAGUUUAAAGGUGAAAUGGGGUCUUGUCUUGGUCCAAAAAGAGAAUUUGUUGAGUCUUUUGUCAAGCAAAUUUCUUCUCCUGAAAUGAAGCUGUUACAUAAAGGAGACAACAACUGUUAUAUACCUAUUUCUAACAGCUAUUCAUUAUACCAAGUAAAAGG
rnacentral:lncRNA from 1 species